AAUCAAGUGCCUUAAGGGUGUUCGGUGGAUGCCUUGGCGCUGAGAGGCGAUGAAGGACGUGCUACGCUGCGAUAAGCCGUGGGGAGCUGCGAAGAAGCUUUGAUCCAUGGAUUUCCGAAUGGGGAAACCCACCUUCGAUAGCCGGAACUCCAAGACCUCAGUCGAAAGACUGUGGUGUGGGGUUCGAUCAGAAAUGAGAGAUGCCUGGACCUUUAGAUUUCGAUCGAAGAGGUUUUGGAUUUCCGGUUAUCAAGAGAAGGUAUGAGACUUCUGAAUACAUAGGAGGUUUCAAGCAAACCCAGGGAACUGAAACAUCUAAGUACCUGGAGGAAAGGACAUCAACAGAGACUCCGUUAGUAGUGGCGAGCGAACGCGGACCAGGCC
rnacentral:rRNA from 12 species